rnacentral:lncRNA from 1 species
CAGGAAACAUGAUAUGCCUAUCAAGCAUGAUUACCAAAGCCCACUAAAAUUAGUAGACAUACUCCCAUAAGUGUCAUUUUCUUGGAGGUCAAGCACCUUUGUUGAUAGAGGUGUUUGGCCAAGUGUAUUUUCCCAUUUAAAAUGAUACAGCAUGCUGACCUCAUCAGAGCUGAGAAGCUCUCUGCUCCAAAAUGUCACCAGAACCACCUAGUCCUCUCCAGCGUGAGGUAUUUUAACUAAUUCUGAGCAAUUUGGAAGUCCUUACACCAUCAGUUAAUUGUAUUUGAGCUCAACAGCAAUAGCAAGGGUUAGGGGAAAGCAACAUCCACCUGUGCAUCACCCGGGAAGAGGCCUCAAAAAAGAGCUAAUGGGCCAUACCCUGUGGGGACAUAACUUUCAGCGCAGCCACACUGUGAAUUGGGCCUUGAAAUGCAUCCAGCUUAGAUAAAAUGACAGAACUUCAGUUUUCCAAACUAAACUUGAUGAGUUUUAAAAGCAAUCAUCUUCACUACAUGGCCAUACAACAUCCCAGAGGUGGGAAGAUGAAGCAAGGAAGAAAAAGAGGAUAUGUGGGAGAAGAGGGAAGACACUGAGUCUGGACAUGGAAGGCUUGCGAGACCAAAGCCUUGGUUGAAAGCGUGCAGUCAGCAGGACAUUAAGUCAUAAAAUUAAAGCCCUCUCUUGCUCCUUCCAUCAUGCUGCUCAACACAUGUCAGCUUGAGCAUUCUCUGGACUAGUUGAUGUAUGGGUUUAUGGUACAUUAGUGUCUUUACAACCCUGAGACCAUAGACAUGGAAAAGACAUUUCAGCAGACCUCGGUAUUGCCAUUGUUGAGCUUCUGAUGGUGUCACAAAGCAGGAUAGUAGCAGGAAGAUUCCCUGGAUUAUUAAGCUCUAUUAACAUGGAGGAACACAGUGCUUCACACAUGGUGCUUGUUAAGCCCCUCAUGAAAUCAGGAGAUUGGAGUGGAGUUCAGGUUUGCUGAGAUGACAGAGGCCAGCUGUCCUGCCAGACAGUCGGAAGAUGCACUGUGGGAAAAUCUUGAAGCAUCAGUUCCACUGAGAGCUGUGGGGACAUGAAGCUGUCAAAGAAAUUAUUUGGAAUAGAAAGAAAUCAUCAUCCUCUGCUGAAAAACAAGCUUUUAGAGUGGAAAAAUAAAUGCAAA